UGUGGGUUGUUUACUUUAUCUUUUUUAAAAGGUGAAGCGAGGGAAAAACAAAAUGUGAGCGUAGCUUGCCUGAGCACUAAUACAUUGCAUUUAUUGGUUGGGGGGGGGCGGGUAAAGCUCGGCCACGGCCUUGAGUCCACGAAGCAGCCGCGGAGCUUUGUGAAGGACAAGAUGGCGAUGGCGGGCCGUGCCGGCGGCCCUCUCUGUGAUGAGAACCUUUUCACAGACCUGUACUGAGCUCCGUGAGGAUAAGAAACUCUGAAGAGACGGGCCUUGCACAGCCGAAAUGCGACACAGUCGUAGCUCCGGCGGACAAAACGAUUGUGAAAAAGCCGGUGUUGAUUUAAUGUCCUCUUGUCUGCAGGGAUUAGGCGCAUGUCUGAACGCUAGAAUGGAAAAGAGCCGACCUGUUAGGAUGUGGUUCAGCUCAAAAGACCUUACGGGUUGGAGGAUGGGACAAGACCCAUCCCUGCAAAGUAAGCAUUCCAGUGAUGCUCCAGCAUCUCCUCCCCAAGCCUGAGGAAUCCAGCUGCCUCCAAGGGUGAAGACAGGUCUUCCUGAUGGUGGUAAUAUGUUGAUUUACCUUAUGAUGCCCACUGAUGUGCUCAGGGUCGAACUCAUGGAAAGAGUUAAGGAUGGAGCAGCUUGUUCGUGUAUACUACCAAAAGGCCUCCAGAGUUAACAGGUGUGGUUACCCAUAACUCGCUCAUUUGCUCAGAGGUUCAGCACUUUCUCUGGAGCCCAAGAAUGAUUUGAGGUACCUUCAGCCAUUUCUCUGCUCAGCUCCAGUCUGAAGUCAGGUCUGAAGAAGGAACAAGGCAUAGGUAAUGGACAGGGAGACAGAAUCCCAAGUAGACCUCAUGCUGUCCCGUGCAGAGCCCAACGCAGGACUUGAACUCUGAAACAGAUAACCUGAGCUGGGAUCAAUGGUUCGACAUAUAACAGACUGAGCCAAUGAGGUGCCCCUAAAAAAAAUGUUCUUAAGUCAAUGCUAAAAGGCUUUACUUUGGCCAAUUAUUGUGUUUAUCCUGUUGGUGUAAAUAUAACUUGAUGAGAAUGA